rnacentral:rRNA from 1 species
GACGAACGCUGGCGGCGUGCUUAACACAUGCAAGUCGAACGGUAAGGCCCUUCGGGGUACACGAGUGGCGAACGGGUGAGUAACACGUGGGUGAUCUGCCCUGCACUUCGGGAUAAGCCUGGGAAACUGGGUCUAAUACCGGAUAGGACCACUGCCUGCAUGGGUGGUGGUGGAAAGCUUUUGCGGUGUGGGAUGGGCCCGCGGCCUAUCAGCUUGUUGGUGGGGUGAUGGCCUACCAAGGCGACGACGGGUAGCCGGCCUGAGAGGGUGACCCGCCAAACUGGGACUGAGAUACGGGCCAGACUCCUACGGGAGGGAGCAGUGGGGAAUAUUGCACAAUGGGCGCAAGCCUGAUGCAGCGACGCCGCGUGAGGGAUGACGGCCUUCGGGUUGUAAACCUCUUUCAGCACCGACGAAGCGCAAGUGACGGUAGGUGCAGAAGAAGGACCGGCCAACUACGUGCCAGCAGCCGCGGUAA